rnacentral:rRNA from 1 species
UACGUAGGGACCAAGCGUUGUUCGGAUUUACUGGGCGUAAAGGGCGCGUAGGCGGCGUGUCAAGUCAAUUGUGAAAUCUCCGAGCUUAACUCGGAACGGUCAAUUGAUACUGAUGUGCUAGAGUGCAGAAGGGGCAAUUGGAAUUCUUGGUGUAGCGGUGAAAUGCGUAGAUAUCAAGAGGAACACCUGAGGUGAAGACGGGUUGCUGGGCUGACACUGACGCUGAGGCGCGAAAGCUAGGGUAGCAAACGGG